GCCCGUCGCUCCUACCGAUUGGAUGACUCGGUGAAAUCACCGGAUGCUUACGAGCAGAAAGUGAUUAAAUCACGUUAUCUAGAGGAAGGAGAAGUCGUAACAAGGUAACGGUAGGUGAACCUGCCGUUGGAUCAGUUCUAGUUUUAAUAACUAACACCAACUUCUUUUAUUAAACAAAAACCAAUACAAAAUUAAAAACUAACUUCAUCAAAAACCAAGUCUCUAAGCAAUGGAUGUCUUGGCUCCUCACACGAUGAAGAACGUGGCAUAAUGUGUUAAGUAACCGGGAGUUGCAAACAUCAUGACAGGUUAA
rnacentral:rRNA from 1 species